UACAGAGGUCUCAAGCGUUGUUCGGAUUCAUUGGGCGGAAAGGGUGCGUAGGUGGCGCUGUAAGUCAGGUGUGAAAUUUCGGAGCUCAACUUCGAAACUGCAUUUGAUACUGCGGUGCUUGAGGACUGGAGAGGAGACUGGAAUUUACGGUGUAGCAGUGAAAUGCGUAGAGAUCGUAAGGAAGACCAGUGGCGAAGGCGGGUCUCUGGACAGUUCCUGACACUGAGGCACGAAGGCCAGGGGAGCAAACGGG
rnacentral:rRNA from 1 species